AGCGGGAUGGAGCAGUGGCAGCUCGUCUGGCUCAUAACCAGAAGGCCGUAGGUUCAAAUCCUACUCCCGCAACCA
rnacentral:tRNA from 1 species